rnacentral:rRNA from 1 species
CUCCAAUAGCGUAUAUUAAAGUUGUUGCAGUUAAAAGCUCGUAGUUGAAGUUCUGAUUGCUCAGGUUCCAGCCUUAGGCGGAGAUACUGACAGUCAUCCGCUUGACAAACAUAUGUUCGAUCUUCACCGGUUGGCUAUGUGAGUAAGCACUUUACCUUGAGAAAAACAGAGUGUUCCAGGCAGGUUUGUCCGGGGAUGCAUUAGCAUGGAAUAAUAGAACAUGACUGAAGUCGAUUUAUUGGUUUAAGGCUUUAGUAAUGAUUAAUAGGAACAGUCGGGGGCAUUCGUACUCAGCAGUCAGAGGUGAAAUUCUAAGAUUUGCUGAAGACGAACUAAUGCGAAAGCAUUUGCCAAGGAUGUUUUCAUUAAUCAAGAACGAAAGUUAGGGGAUCAAAGACGAUCAGAUACCGUCCUAGUCUUAACUAUAAACUAUGCCGACUCGGAUUCAGAUGAAUCAAAAUGUUCAUUUGGGACCGUAGGAGAAAUCAAAGUCUUUGGGUUCUGGGG